GACGAACGCUGGCGGCGUGCCUAAUACAUGCAAGUCGAGCGGACCGAAGGGAGCUUGCUCCUUUAGGUUAGCGGCGGACGGGUGAGUAGCACGUGGGCAACCUGCCCUGCAGACUGGGAUAACUUCGGGAAACCGGAGCUAAUACCGGAUAACACCGAAAACCGCAUGGUUUUCGGUUGAAAGGCGGCUUUUAGCUGUCACUGCAGGAUGGGCCCGCGGCGCAUUAGCUAGUUGGUGAGGUAACGGCUCACCAAGGCGACGAUGCGUAGCCGACCUGAGAGGGUGACCGGCCACACUGGGACUGAGGCGCGGCCAAGACUCCUACGGGAGGCAGCAGUAGGGAAUCUUCCGCAAUGGACGAAAGUCUGACGGAGCAACGCCGCGUGAGCGAAGAAGGUCUUCGGAUCGUAAAGCUCUGUUGUCAGGGAAGAACAAGUACCGUUCGAAUAGGGCGGUACCUUGACGGUACCUGACGAGGAAGCCACGGCUAACUACGUGCCAGCCGCCGCCGUAA
rnacentral:rRNA from 1 species